GAUGAAGAACGCAGCGAAAUGCGAUAAGUAAUGUGAAUUGCAGAAUUCAGUGAAUCAUCGAAUCUUUGAACGCACAUUGCGCCCGCUGGUAUUCCGGCGGGCAUGCCUGUUCGAGCGUCAUUUCAACCCUCAAGCUCUCCGGAGUUUGGUGUUGGGGCGCCUGGGGCUUUUCGACCUCAGGGCCCUCAAGUCCAUCGGCGGGACCGCCAGGACACUGAGCGCAGUAGUAUUAUUUCGCUCGGUAGGAUCUUCCACGGCGGGUCGAUCUGGCCGCUAAACCCCCCAAUUCUCACCAAAGGUUGACCUCGGAUCUGGUAGGAAUACCCGCUGAACUUAAGCAUAUCAAUAAGCGGAGGA
rnacentral:misc_RNA from 1 species